CCAGUGGUGGUUCAGUCGUAGAAUUCUUGACUUUCACUCGGGAGAUCUGGGUUCAAUUCCCAGCCAACGGA
rnacentral:tRNA from 1 species